UACGGGGGGAGCAAACGUUGUUCGGAAUCACUGGGCGUAAAGCGCACGUAGGCGGCUUUCUAAGUCGGAGGUGAAAUCCUGGAGCUCAACUCCAGAACUGCCUUCGAUACUGGAGAGCUCGAGUCCGGGAGAGGUGAGUGGAACUGCGAGUGUAGAGGUGAAAUUCGUAGAUAUUCGCAAGAACACCAGUGGCGAAGGCGGCUCACUGGCCCGGUACUGACGCUGAGGUGCGAAAGCGUGGGGAGCAAACAGG
rnacentral:rRNA from 1 species